AUACCUUUCUCGGCCUUUUGGCUAAGAUCAAGUGUAGUAUCUGUUCUUAUCAGUUUAAUAUCUGAUAUGUGGGCCAUGUGUCCACUUUGAUAUUAAAUUUAAUUUUUGUGGGGGAGGGCCCACCACAGUGGCUUGCCACUGGGGCCCUCACGCGUCGCCCAGGCGUUGCACUGCUGCCCGGGCCUGGCGCACCCCAA
rnacentral:snRNA from 1 species